rnacentral:rRNA from 1 species
AUUGAACGCUGGCGGCAGGCUUAACACAUGCAAGUCGAACGAGUGGCGGACGGGUGAGUAAUGCUUGGGAAUCUAGCUUAUGGAGGGGGAUAACUACGGGAAACUGUAGCUAAUACCGCGUACCAUAGGAUGAGCCCAAGUGGGAUUAGGUAGUUGGUGAGGUAAAGGCUCACCAAGCCGACGAUCUCUAGCUGGUCUGAGAGGAUGACAAGCCACACUGGGACUGAAACACGGCCCAGACUCCUACGGGAGGCAGCAUUGGGGAAUAUUGCGCAAGGGGGGCAAACUAGCGAAGCCAUACCGCGGGAAUGAAGAAGGCCUUCGGGUGGUAAAGUUCUUUCGGUAGCGAGGCGUUAACUUCAGAAACAGCACCGGCUAACUCCGUGCCAGCAGCCGCGGUAAUAC